rfam:Paenisporosarcina sp. HGH0030 genomic scaffold acAqH-supercont1.1, whole genome shotgun sequence.
AUAACAUAUCGGCUUAGUCCUGAGCAAUCAGGAACGGAGGAACCAAUUUUUUGGGGUUAAUUCUACAGUUGUCUGUAGAAAGGAUGAGAUGCUCUUUCGCCAUCCUACCCGUCAGCUAACUUCGUCGGCUAAAGCGGAGGAGGU